GUGGGGAAUAUUGGACAAUGGGGGAAACCCUGAUCCAGCGACGCCGCGUGAGUGAAGAAGUAUUUCGGUAUGUAAAGCUCUAUCAGCAGGGAAGAUGAUGACGGUACCUGACUAAGAAGCACCGGCUAAAUACGUGCCAGCAGCCGCGGUAAUACGUAUGGUGCAAGCGUUAUCCGGAUUUACUGGGUGUAAAGGGAGCGUAGGCGGCUAUGCAAGUCAGAUGUGAAAGCCCGGGGCUCAACUCCGGGACUGCAUUUGAAACUGCGUAGCUUGAGUGCAGGAGAGGCAGGCGGAAUUCCUAGUGUAGCGGUGAAAUGCGUAGAUAUUAGGAAGAACACCGGUGGCGAAGGCGGCCUGCUGGACUGAGACUGACGCUGAGGCUCGAAAGCGUGGGGAGCAAACAGG
rnacentral:rRNA from 1 species